rnacentral:tRNA from 1 species
GCCGAGGUAGCUCAAUUGGUAGAGCACUCCCUUCGUAAGGGAGAUGUUGUCGGUUCAAGUCCGAUCCUCGGCU